GAUGAACGCUGGCGGCGUGCCUAAUACAUGCAAGUCGAGCGAACAGACGAGGAGCUUGCUCCUCUGACGUUAGCGGCGGACGGGUGAGUAACACGUGGAUAACCUACCUAUAAGACUGGGAUAACUUCGGGAAACCGGAGCUAAUACCGGAUAAUAUAUUGAACCGCAUGGUUCAAUAGUGAAAGACGGUUUUGCUGUCACUUAUAGAUGGAUCCGCGCCGCAUUAGCUAGUUGGUAAGGUAACGGCUUACCAAGGCAACGAUGCGUAGCCGACCUGAGAGGGUGAUCGGCCACCCUGGAACUGAGACACGGUCCAGACUCCUACGGGAGGCAGCAGUAGGGAAUCUUCCGCAAUGGGCGAAAGCCUGACGGAGCAACGCCGCGUGAGUGAUGAAGGUCUUCGGAUCGUAAAACUCUGUUAUUAGGGAAGAACAAAUGUGUAAGUAACUAUGCACGUCUUGACGGUACCUAAUCAGAAAGACACGGCUAACUACGUG
rnacentral:rRNA from 1 species